UACGUAGGUGGCGAGCGUUGUCCGGAUUUAUUGGGUUUAAAGGGUGCGUAGGCGGCUUUGUAAGUCAGUGGUGAAAUACUCCAGCUUAACUGGAGGGGUGCCAUUGAUACUGCGGAGCUUGAGUACAGAUGAGGUAGGCGGAAUUGACGGUGUAGCGGUGAAAUGCAUAGAUAUCGUCAAGAACACCGAUAGCGAAGGCAGCUUACUGGGCUGUAACUGACGCUGAUGCACGAAAAGUGUGGGGGAUCAAAACAGG
rnacentral:rRNA from 1 species